ensembl:lncRNA
CUUGGCUCCUGUUAGCUUCCCAAUCAGCACUUAUUUUAAUAGGGCCCAGGCGAGCAGGAAGAGAGGGUCAGAGGUUUUGGGGGGGAUCGGGGGGUCACACUCAUGCUGGAAUAGAUGUGCGUGUGUGUAUGCAUGCGUGCGCCGGCUCAAGCACUUUAUAAGUGCGGUGUGUAGCUGAUUCAGGCAGAAAGAGAUAACAGCCAAACAGCUCUGAGAAACACGAUGGCGACGGGAGAUAAAGCAGCGAGCGCACAGACGGACGGGAGGACGGCAAUUAAGCUGAUUCAGGAGAACGAAGAUGAAAGGCAGCGUCCGAGCGAGGCCGCCCGCCGCGCUCGCCGGCGGAGAGGACUGUGUGGGAGAAAGCGUGCGGAGUGGGGGCUAUGGGACGGCGGCGCGUGAAGGGAAUCAGGCCAAAGGUGGUGGUGGUGGUGGUGAGGGGGGGCAGUUUGGCUAAUUGUGAUGCUUGUUUAGCGAGAAAGAGCCAAAAAUUAAAGGACAUUAUAAUCAACAAAUGAGCUGUAGUUUUUAAGGGCCUUCCUUUAAUUGUGAUUUGGUGUGUGUGUGUGUGUGUGUGUGUGUGUGUGUGUGUGUGUGUGUGUGUGUGUGUGUGUGUGUGUGUGUGUGUGUGUGUUUUGGAGCUGCUCUCCCCUGCUCUUUGUAUUUGAUGAGACCCCGGGGAGCGACAGUUUGCACUCUGUCAACAUGCUUUUUUUUUUUUUUUUUUGCUCGUAUCCGACGACUUUGUCGAAACUGAGCCCACGUGAGAGAUUCCUUCCGCCGCCGUUUAUUUGGCACGGGAACGAGGGCUAUGAUGUGGAUUAAUUGCUUGUUAGCCGAGAGGAGCCAAUAAUAACAGGCUAGGAGUGACGCGGGCUUGACAGGACUGGUGUGAUGAUUAACGACGGCGGCGAGCGUUUCAUUUACGACUAUUCAUGUGCGGCGGAGACAUUUGUUUAAAAAAAAGUGCAGCAUAAAUUUUAAUGAGUCAAAUUACUUUUCUUUUUUUUUGGUUCGCAUUGUUUCAGCCAGUGAACAACCGAGUGCACACUUCACUGUUCACUGGGUUUUCUCCUUAAUGUCUUAAUAGUUAAGCGUAUAAAAUUGCACAUUUGACAUUCGUCUGACUUUUUUAUUUUCAUUUAAUCGCUAUGGACUGAACGAGCUUGGAAAUACUUAUUGGAUG